CCAAUGCCACCUUCUCGGCCUUGUGCCACCGCCGCCACAGAACUCCAGCGACAUUCAACCACACCAUCAUACUCCCCUCGUUUUCCUCUUCAUAUUGAUGCCCAUCGAUCACUCAAGCAUCCACGUUUUGGUUUCAAAUCGAAGUGAAAAAAAUGAAGAACAAUAAGAGAAGCUCCAUGGAUUCCGGCUUGGUUUUGAGCUCCGGCGAGCUUCCUUGACCACGAUUUGGUAAGCCCAGUCCUCCAAUCCUCAUAUCUAAUUCAGUUCCUUCACUAAUUUCUUCAAAUCGGAAGCUGGUUUCUCUUCCCUUUUUCUGGGGUUCCUCUCCGCCGCACCACUGUCGAAAUCCGCCUCCUUGCGGCAAUGUUUAGGACUCCAAAAACUCAAUUUUUCUACUAAGGUAAUUAUCAAUUUCUGUUUUCAAUCUCCAACUUAGUUCCAUCAUUAAUUCCUUGAUUUAAGUGAUGAAUCCGAACUUUCCUCUUUCAUUGUUUUCUUCCGACACAAACCAUCAUCUCCGGAGAGUCUUCUCUCUGUCUGAACGACGAGGCAAGCUUGGGGGAGACCCAGAGACCUUUGUAAAUGCCAGGACGUGGUGAGGAGUGCAGAAGCAGCCUCGGCUCUGCGUUUUGGACUUGUGGAGAGUUGAUACAAUGAGAUCGUACAAAGCUAGAGCAGCAAUAACAACAUUACUUUGGGAUUGGAUGAGCAACGUGGAUUCUGCAUUUCAAUCCAGAUGGAGAGAAAUGAGAAUUCACAACGGAGAGAGUGGUAUCGCGCAAAACAAUGAGAAAGGGAAAGAUAGUGAGUGGUCAUCUACCCACCGAACUCCAAUUCAAAUAAGGCUUUACAUGUGUGAACCUCAGCCUUCAUUCAUAUUAGUUCUUACUUCAAUUUUGAAGGGAAAUAAGGCUCGGAAAUGUGAUUUCCUGAAAAAGGUAGGAAACUUAUUUAGAGUUGAGUGGAUUUGACCUCUGUAAGCCAUUAUUCUUAUGUUAUGUUUCUCAUCAUGGGAGAAUUUUACUGAAAGUGAGGGUUUCAUCAUACUGUAAUACAUAAAUGUCAAUUCUUUCA